rnacentral:rRNA from 1 species
AUUGAACGCUGGCGGCAGGCCUAACACAUGCAAGUCGAGCGAGCGUCUUACGUUUUAGUCCUUUCUUGUAAACUGCCUGAUGUAGGGGUCUAACUCCUGGAACCGGUAGCUAAUCCCCCAUCCCAUCAGAUGUGCCCCGAUGUGAUUAGCUAGUAGGUGGGGUAAUGGCUCACCUAGGCGACGAUCCCUAGCUGGUCUGAGAGGAUGACCAGCCACACUGGAACUGCGACACGGGCCAGACUCCUACGGGAGGCAGCAGUGGGGAAUAUUGCACAAUGGGCGCAAGCCUGAUGCAGCCAUGACGCGGGUGUGAAGAAGGCCUUCGGGUUGUAAAGCACUUUCAGCGGGGAGGCGUUAACCGAAGAAGAAGAACAGGCUAACUCCGUGCCAGCAGCCGCGGUAAUAG